GAAGUAUCGGUAACGCUGAUUCAGGCGGAGUUACCAAGCCGCUUCACGCUGCAAAAGCCGUAAGGCCGCUGUGGUGAACGGAUGAAGAAAAGGCCACGCAAGUGGUCAGGU
rfam:Bacteroidetes bacterium RIFCSPHIGHO2_02_FTLL_44_7 rifcsphigho2_02_scaffold_254366, whole genome shotgun sequence.